GAUGAACGCUGGCGGCGUGCCUAAUACAUGCAAGUCGAGCGAACAGACGAGGAGCUUGCUCCUCUGACGUUAGCGGCGGACGGGUGAGUAACACGUGGAUAACCUACCUAUAAGACUGGGAUAACUUCGGGAAACCGGAGCUAAUACCGGAUAAUAUAUUGAACCGCAUGGUUCAAUAGUGAAAGACGGUUUUGCUGUCACUUAUAGAUGGAUCCGCGCCGCAUUAGCUAGUUGGUAAGGUAACGGCUUACCAAGGCGACGAUGCGUAGCCGACCUGAGAGGGUGAUCGGCCACACUGGAACUGAGACACGGUCCAGACUCCUACGGGAGGCAGCAGUAGGGAAUCUUCCGCAAUGGGCGAAAGCCUGACGGAGCAACGCCGCGUGAGUGAUGAAGCUCUUCGGAUCGUAAAACUCUGUUAUUAGGGAAGAACAAAUGUGUAAGUAACUAUGCACGUCUUGACGGUACCUAAUCAGAAAGCCACGGCUAACUACGUG
rnacentral:rRNA from 1 species